GAGACACCCUUAUGGGGCAAGACUUGCUUCAGUGGGGCUUUGGUGCUCACUGAGUCUUCCCCCUGAGUGUGUCCCU
rfam:Myotis lucifugus cont2.46689, whole genome shotgun sequence.